rnacentral:misc_RNA from 1 species
AAGUAAGCAAGGUAAUUAAAAGCGAUUUCUUGAUUGUUUUGAAGCCAUGAAGCCAGGGGCGCUUAACUUCUGAGAAAUGUGCGCGCUUCAAACAGUGAAAUGCAAUAUUAUCUUGAGAAGUAGCAGCCAACUAUUGAAUCUUAUCUCUGAGGAGUUGGAUUGAUAUCAGCAUUUGAAAAUUAAUUCUUAUAGUACGAUUAUAUUGUGUUAAUUGUCUCUCAGUUUAUGUGUUCUGCUUCAAUUAAUUGUAAGCAUCAUUGCAUGGAUUUGUCGCUUUUUCGCGCAGUUUGUUUUUAAAAGCAUCGAAACAUGGGAUAAGAGGGUGCAUUUGAUACGAAGGUA